GUGAGGAAUUUUCCGCAAUGGGCGAAAGCCUGACGGAGCAAUGCCGCGUGAAGGAUGAAGGCCUAUGGGUUGUAAACUUCUUUUCUCAGAAAAGAAUUAUGACGGUAUCUGAGGAAUAAGCAUCGGCUAACUCUGUGCCAGCAGCCGCGGUAAGACAGAGGAUGCAAGCGUUAUCCGGAAUGAUUGGGCGUAAAGCGUCUGUAGGUUGUUUAAAAAGUAUUCUGUCAAAGAUUAGGGCUUAACCCUAGAUAGGCAGAAUAAACUUUUAAGCUAGAGUUUGGUAGAGGCAGAGGGAAUUCCCGGUGGAGCGGUGAAAUGCGUAGAUAUCGGGAGGAACACCAAAGGCGAAGGCACUCUACUGGGCCAAUACUAACACUGAGAGACGAAAGCGAGGGGAGCAAAUGGGAUUAGAUACCCCUGUAGUCC
rnacentral:rRNA from 1 species